UGGGACAUUAAAUAUUCUAACAAGACAUGGUGGGACAUUAUACAUUGUAACCGGACAUGGUGGGACAUUAUACAUUGUAACCAGACAUGGUGGGACAUUAUACAUUGUAACCGGACAUGGUGGGACAUUAUACAUUGUAACCAGACAUGGUGGGACAUUAUACAUUGUAACCAGACAUGGUGGGACAUUAUACAUUGUAACCGGACAUGGUGGGACAUUAUACAUUGUAACCAGACAUGGUGGGACAUUAUACAUUGUAACCGGACAUGGUGGGACAUUAUACAUUGUAACCGGACAUGGUGGGACAUUAUACAUUGUAACUGGAC